rnacentral:tRNA from 1 species
AGCUCAGUUGGUAGAGCAGUUGACUUUUAAUCAAUUGGUCGCUGGUUCGAAUCCAGCACGACCCACCA